rnacentral:misc_RNA from 1 species
CUCUUUCUCUCUCUCCCUCUCUCUCUCUUCAAAAUCAAAAUUCUUUCUCUGAAACAAGGUUUCUCUCUCCAAAAUCUCUUUUGUCUUUUCUUGAUCUGCAACUCUUCAGCUAUUGUGAUUGCUGUUUCUUUUUCUCCCUGCUCAAGUGGGUUUUUGCUAAUUUUGCUCAACAUGGACCAGUCUCAUUGUAGGCUUUAGAAAAAGCUAUUCUGCACAAUGGAUGCCUUGACAUAUGCAUUGAAGGCGGGAUUUGGAGUUGCCUUUUUGGUGAUUUUAGCCAAUUAUAACUUCUUUCAGAUUAAACUUUGAGAGAUGGCACG